UUCUGCAGCUAAGCACGGAGACCUUGCACAGGACUAUAAACAGUGCAAGUUGGCUUUAGCCAGCAACACAAUCGAAUUGCGGGGACGUCUUAAAGCCUGUAGCCCCUCCCGUUAGUGAAAGCUAACGGUAUGGUAAGAGUCUACAGGAUGUACAAUAGACUAUCCGCAGCGAAGACCCUAAGGCGUAUGCUACGGGUAUCGUUCACAGACUAAGUGAUUGUGGGAGGGUUACCCUUCUAAGAUAUAGUCG
rnacentral:misc_RNA from 1 species